GACUUAUCCCGUGGUGAUUUGGCCGGUCGGCUUGCAGCCACGUAAAACAAAUAGCUAAAAAGGCCGGGUUUGAAACCGG
rfam:Rhizobium sp. Root483D2 contig_1, whole genome shotgun sequence.